UCGGGAAUUUUGGGCAAUGGGGGAAACCCUGACCCAGCAACGCCGCGUGGAGGAUGAAGUAUUUCGGUAUGUAAACUUCGAAAGAAUAGGAAGAAUAAAUGACGGUACUAUUUAUAAGGUCCGGCUAACUACGUGCCAGCAGCCGCGGUAAUACGUAGGGACCAAGCGUUGUUCGGAUUUACUGGGCGUAAAGCGUGCGCAGGUGGCUGUGCAAGCCAGGCGUGAAAUCCCCGGGCUCAACCUGGGAAUGGCGCUUGGGACUGCACGGCUAGAGUGCGGCAGAGGGAGCUGGAAUUCCUGGUGUAGCAGUGAAAUGCGUAGAGAUCAGGAGGAACACCGAUGGCGAAGGCAGGCUCCUGGGCCAGCACUGACACUCAUGCACGAAAGCGUGGGGAGCAAACAGGAUUAGAUACCCUUGUAGUCCCUGAGCGGGCUGGCAAGGCGCAU
rnacentral:rRNA from 1 species